rnacentral:rRNA from 1 species
CCUACGGGAGGCAGCAGUGAGGAAUAUUGGUCAAUGGCCGCAGGGCUGAACCAGCCAAGUCGCGUGAGGGAUGACGGUCCUAUGGAUUGUAAACCUCUUUUGUCAGGGAGCAAAGGGCGCCACGUGUGGCGCUUUGCGAGUACCUGAAGAAAAAGCAUCGGCUAACUCCGUGCCAGCAGCCGCGGUAAUACGGAGGAUGCGAGCGUUAUCCGGAUUUAUUGGGUUUAAAGGGUGCGCAGGCGGAAUGGCAAGUCAGCGGUAAAAUUUCGGGGCUCAACCCCGUUGUGCCGUUGAAACUGGCGUUCUUGAGUGAGCGAGAAGUAUGCGGAAUGCGUGGUGUAGCGGUGAAAUGCAUAGAUAUCACGCAGAACUCCGAUUGCGAAGGCAGCAUACCGGCGCUCAACUGACGCUCAUGCACGAAAGCGUGGGUAUCGAACAGGAUUAGAUACCCCAGUAGUC